rnacentral:lncRNA from 1 species
GGAGAUCUGGAUCGAGCACACAGCACAGGGAUGAUCUGAUGUCAAAUGGGCGAUGGAUUAAAACUAUAGAAUCUGUGAUUAACAGGAGGAUUAAAGAAAGGUAAUUGCUAUCUGCACUGCCAGUCUGACGCACUGUUCACUGUAGACAUGUGGCCUCUUUUUUUAAAAAAAAAAAAACUUUAAAUAUGCAACAUAUUUUGACAAAAUAUGAACCGUAUCAGAAGAUUGUUCAUGUCUACCAUCCUUGGCUAUCUUGUCGGCUACCCUGUUGUCUGUUGAUAAUCCAUUUGACUUGCAUCAAACUUUCAGGGUCUGACCGUCUGAGACUCCAAUGUCAUGGUUCAGCAUCGAAGUUUCUUAUUGUUAAAGAUGGUACCUGCAAAGUCAAGAAAUUUUGCGAUCUCCAUUGCCAUCAGAGCCAGUAAUUCUGCCUACAAAGAAGAUUGAGCUAUCAAGAUAGUACUAGCUUUUAUAAAGAGCGCAUUAUGAGAGUUUGGCAUGUGGAAAAAUAUUGUGCUAAACCAUUCACCCAAGCAGCAUCCACAUAACACCUAUUCCCAUUCCCCCUAGGAAUAUCUGGCAAUGUCCUGCAAGGUAGAUCCUCCUCCAGUGCACUAUGAUUUAUUUACCUCCUCCUAUGUAUCUUGAUUUACCUGUUGAGUUGAGCAUUUGGCAUACGUAGACAUGUGGGCUCGAAUAUGUUCAACCACAUAAAUCAUGUACCAGUGAGUACACUAC